rnacentral:lncRNA from 1 species
GUGUACAGACUACAGACAGUGUUGAUGAUAAAUGUAAUAAACACCAACGUAUCAUUUCCUUUAGAAAGGCCUUUGAUCUAAUCUGAAAGGCUCAAGGUGAUGUUGAAAGUUGUUAGGUCCCUGUUCAGGGCACCAUACAAGGGAAGGAAGCAAUUUAUUUUAAUUAAACAUAUAUCCAUGUUAUUAUGCCAAAUUUAUUUUCUCCUGUGGGAAGAUAUGGAUAGAUGGGAUUUAAGUAAUGUUGAUAUCUUGUCCACGAAAGAGAUAAAAAAAAAGAGAUCAGAAUCUAUAAUAGAAAAGUAGUGGAUGGGGUUUGGAUUAAGGUAGCAUUUUAGUUUUUAAAAAUAAAUUUUAAAAAAAUAUUUUUAGUUACAGUUUUAUUAAAAUUAUAAUGAAAUAAAUUUUUGCAUGUAAAAUAAAUAAAAAAUAUAUUAUUUUAAUUUUUACAAAACUAAAAAUUAAAAAAUAAUUAUAUAUGAUCCAGGUAUAAAAAAUAUAAAUUAUUUAAAUAAUCAGACAGAUUUUUUUAUAUUAUUGAACAAAAACAAAAACUAUACUAAUACCCACACAUAAAGCACGUAAAAUAUCCAAAAUAGUAUAAAGAUUUUUUUUUCUAACCAUAUGAUUACCCUCUGCCAACCACUAAAGGCCUGCCAUAAAUUUUAAUUUUUUUUUUAAAUUGAGCAAAAGGAAUAACUCCACUGCCAUAAAAGUAACAUAGAUGAUCACAAUUUUGAUAGCCUCAUUAUUUUUGUAUUUAAAAUAAUUUAAAAUCUUUUUAUUUUUUUAAAUUAAUUUUUUUUUUCAUGUUUUCAUAUUAUUUUAAUAUAAUAAGAUUAAAAAAAUAUUAAUUCCAGAUAUUUCGAAACAAAAGUCACUUGAAAAAAAAACAACCGCGUGUUGAAUUGAGGAGCAGUGCUGACAAAAAUGAUCAGAUAUGGAUGAUGAAGAAAUAUCUACAAUGUUGUGGGACCAGGCAAAAGGGCCCCAUCUCUAUCGUACCCUUAUUCCUCUCUCCUUCUAUCUUCUGGGCAUGAAUUAAUAUGAAUGCUUUAAUUUACCGCCGUUGAAAAUACCAGUUUCUUUAUCCAUUUCGUGCACACACUGACACGUCGGCGAUGAAGAGUAGCUUGCCGACACCUUAGAAAUGUUAUCCUUAAAAAAUAUUUUUAGUUACGGUUUAAAAAAUAUAAAUUUAAAAACUAAGUGUUUUAUUAAAAUUAAAAUUAAAUAAAUUUUUACAAGUAAAAAUAAAAACAGUCUUUAUAAAUAAAUAUAAAAUAUUGUCACAAAUAUGCGGCGUCGCGGCGAUCGCUCACCACCCUCAUCAGGUGUGGAGUGUUUAUCUCGGCAAAUAUAGAAAGACAAGGAAUUCUUGUCUUUUAUCAGUAAAAAAAAUAGAAUGGGAGUUGUCACAUAGUAUUUUGGUCACAUGAACUCUAACUGGUCUUAAAGAUCGGGUACGAAGAUUGAUUGCGUAAAGGGAAGGUAUUAGCACUCCAAAUACGUCCUACCUAAGAUAAGAUGCAUUGUUUUAUUGUCUGAUAAAAACUAAGGUCUUGUCGUGUUCUCUAAUUUUUUAUUUGUCUAUGGUUUAAGAAAAGUCUCCGUAGGUAAGGAGGUCCUUAUCUUAUCGAGUAAAAACCUAAUUGUGCUAACGUCAAAUAAAAAAAACUACCUUUUUAAUAUCGGGAGUACGUUUUACAUAUAAAUUCGUAAUCCCGGAUAUUAAAAGAAAACAAAAUAUUUUUUUGAGUGUUUUUUUGAAAUAUUGGCCUAGUUCUUGUGACUUAAAUAAACUGGUUAUUAAAGCCUAGAUGCAUGCUAAUACAUAAUUUUUGAAUUUUUGUUGUAUAAAAAUAUGAUGUGAUUUUUUCUUUGAGAGACUUGGCCGUAUGCAUGAAAACAAAAAAAAACAUUUUUUUUAAGUUUUUACGAAAACCGGGUAUUUUAAUACCGCAUUUGUGUUUUUACGGUAUAUAAAAAACAAACCGAUAUUAAUUAAAAUGGAUAGAAAAAUAUGUAAGAAAAUCAUGGAUGUUUUUGAAAAUGUAUUUUUUUUUGUAAAUUUUUUAACGGGCCGGACCCGAAACAAAAUUGGGCUGGGACCGAUUCGAAUAAAACACAAACUACCUUAUAUUGGGUUAGACUCAGCCCAGCCGCGUGGACUGGGCUGAUGAUCCAACCCGGGCUAGUUACUGUGCCAUGCACAGUAACCAGCUAAAUGUAAUUAUCCGGUAAUUGUGCUCAUGCACAGUAACCGGGUAAUUAUUUUGCCUUGCAUUGCAGAAACAUGCACAGUGCACGUUCUGCAUGCAAGGGAAUGAAACGGGAAAACAGAGACGAAAGGACGAGAAUUACCUUGAAUGGAGGCGCUCUGGUAGCUGAGCUGACAGUGGCUAGUGGUGACGGUUGAGAGGUGACGGUGGUGUUGCUGUAGUGGCAGACAGUGGUUGUAGCAAGAAGAGGAAGAAAGGAGAAGAAAUCUGCAGAGGUUGACGAUAGUGACAGUCGCGGUGGCUGAUCCGCCUCCUAUGAAGAUCUGGGUUGAUGUAUAUGGAGUGUACAGACUGGUGGUGGUGGUGGUUGUGGCAGGAGGUCGCGGUGGAGAGAGAAACAGAGAGGUUCUGCUGGCAGCAGAAACCGAGUUAGGAAGGCUGGUUUAUUUGCUGUCUUUGGACCGAAAUUUCUCCACACCUGGAGCAUUAAGAUCAAAUAUAUUUAUAGGCGGUGGAAGAGGGACACUUUUUCUCUUCUGGUUCGACCUGAAAGCAUCCCAACCAUUGGCUCAAAGUAGCAAUGAUGAACUGUCAGUUUUGCAUGAAAAAUGGCUGGUCGGGUUGGCCACUUUGGGGCGGUGCCACCGCCUCUACAGCCUCGAUCAGCCCGAACAGCUUACACUAGCGUGUAGUCAGGUAUCACAGGAUCGUUUGCUUGUACAUUUCAUCCAAUUUGGUGAAGAAACGAGGCGCCAAAUGCCUUUGAAAGGUGGCCACCCAACCAGCCUUGCUGGAGAAGAAGAUGAAUAGUAUCUUACAAUUUAGUCAUUUAAUUUUGUUCAAUUUUACCCAUGGAGAACUUCAAUUUAAACCGCAGAUUUCGGCGCAUUUUUCCAUUUGGUCCUUGGUUUUGGAUUUAUGCAAUUUGACCCUUAAUUGAUCAACAAACUUUCAAUUUCUUCAAUUUGACCCCUGAUUUGGUCAAUUCCAGUCCCUUUAUUUACGCGCCUUUUCCAAUUUGGUCCCUGGUUUUAAAUUUCUUCAAUCAAGCCCCUAAUUGGCCAUCAAACUUUAAUAUCUAUUCAAUUAAGCCCCUGAUUUGACCAAAUCAACUCUCAAAAAUUGUACUUUGACCCCAGAACCUUAAUUUCUUCCAAUUAAAGCCUAAAUUGACUUAAAAAUCAAUUUUUGUUGUAAUCAAUCCCUAUAUAAAUUCAAUUAAACAUCCAAUAAAAUUUAAUUGGGUCCAUAAACAUCUGAUUUUGGAUUUUUUUUCCUCCAAUUGAAUUUUUCUUUGUCAACAGGGCUCUUCAUCUGUAAAAUAUAUUGUCAAAUUUUAAUCUUUGAAUUUUUGAGCCUCCUCAACCAACUUAUAGCCAUUUUCUGGGCGCUCUGACAUCCUCUUCUCACUGUUAUUAUUUUUUAGAUUUUUUUUUGUUUUUUGUUGGAAUAUUUUUAGAUUUUUAGAAGAGAAAAAGUAAAUUUGGGGAAUAGCCCAAAAAUGAGUUAUGACAAUUGCCCCCCUCUUUACAAUGCUUACGACAUAAGAGAUUUUAGAUAGUAAGCUUUGUAAAGAAGAAAAAGAAAAGACAACAGACUCACCAUAUCAAGAAAUGAUGAAUUGUUUGAGGGCUGGAAAACGCACUCAGACUAAAAAUUGAAAGAUUUUUCUUUUGAAAUUUGAAAGAUUUUGAAAUGGGAAAAUUGUAAUGGGUGACCUACCUAGAAAAAGGAUGGUCUCAUUGUAAUGGGUGACCUACCCAAGAGGAAAAAAAGAAGAGUGGUCGCGUUGUAAUAGGUGACCUACCCAGAAAAAGGAUGGUCUCAUUAUAAUGGGUGACCUCCCAAAAGGAAAAAAAAAUGAGUGGUCUCAUUGUAAUGGGUGACCUACCCAGGUGAAGGAAUGAUCUCAUUGUAAUGGGUGACCUACUCAGAAAAAGGAUGGUCUCAUUGUAAUGGGUGAACUAUCCAAGAGAAAAGAUGGUCUUAAAAAGGAUGGUCUCAUUGUAAUGGGUGAACUAUCCAAGAGAAAAGAUGGUCUUAUUGUAAUGGGUGACCUACCCAAGAGAAAAAAAGGAAGAGUGGUCUUAUUGUAAUGGAUGACCUACCCAGGUGAAGGAAUGGUCUCAUUGUAAUGGGUGACCUACCCAGAUAAAAAAAAAAAGGAGAAUUGAUCGCGUUGUAAUGGGUGACCUACCCAUAAAAAUAUUGGUCUCAUUGUAAUGGGUGACCUACCUAGAUAAAACAAACAUGGAGAAUUGGUCGCGUUGUAAUGGGUGACCUACCCAAAAAAAUUGUUGGUCUCUUUGUAAUGGGUGACCUACCCAGAUAAAAAAUAUAGAGAAUUGGUCGCGUUGUAAUGGGUGACCUGCCCAGAAAAAUGUUAGUCUCAUUAUAAUGGGUGACCUACCCAAGAAAAAAAGAAAGAGUGGUCUCAUUGUAAUGGGUGACCUAUCCAAGUGGAAGAUUGUAAUGGGUGACCUACCUAGAUCAAAAACAUGGAGAAUUGGUCGCGUUGUAAUGGGUGACCUGCCCAGAAAAAAAAUGUCGGUCUCAUUGUAAUGGGUGACCUACCCAAAGAAAAAGGAAAGAGUAGUCUCAUUGUAAUGGGUGACCUACCCAAGUGAAAGAAUGGCCUCAUUGUAAUGGGUGACUUACCUAGACAAAAAAACAUGGAGAAUUGGUCGCGUUGUAAUGGAUGACCUACCCAGAAAAAUAUUGAUGAGGGCUCAAAGGCGUACUCGAAAAGAGGUAGGGUUAGAAAACGCACUACCUAAGGGAUGGUGGCUCAAAGGCACACUCGAAAGGAGGUAGGGUUAGAAAACGCAUUACCUGAGAAGUGAGGGCAUAAAGGCGCACUCAAAAGGAAGUGAGGGCACAAAAGCGCUCUUCAAAUGAAGUAUGGUUAAAAAACGCACUACCCAAAAGUGAUGAUGAAACAUCGAUCUGUCAAUGUUGAAAGCAAUGCAUUAUGAUCAAUAUGCAUGUAUACUUACCUGAGAAAUAUAGGUCCUCAUUUCUUCAUGGUGUCUUUCUUUUCUCAAAAGUUGGAGUGUUGGCAGUAGACUUCGAUGGCUUUUUCGCUCUUGCUUACUCGAGUCAUCUCUUGUGAUCUUGACCUCUAGGAAGGACUUGAUAUCAUCAUACUUCUUUGUCUUCCAUCCCUUUAUCUCAAGGGUUGUCAAUUUUGCCCGACAGUUUUCUUAGGAAGGUAAUCAUGGAGCCAGCCCUACCAGAAGUUUUUGAUUGCCCCCCAGCUUGAUCAUGCCCCCAAAUAUUCAAUUCGGGUUUAGGGAUGAGGCUAUGUGAAGGAAGGUUUGACAAGGAGUUGUUAUCAUGCAGAUUUUUUUGGAAUUUCAAAGCUAUUCCAGACACAGAAAUCAUUUUGACAUCGAUUCAAAGCAAACUCAUUCUGAAGAAAUUCAAGUGAUUCCUAUGGAGAGGUUUUCAGAAGUGAUGAACCUUUUGUCUUGAUUUUGGUGAAAAUAUGAAGUGACAUUUGGUUGGUCAAAAUGGUUCAAGAUUUAAUAUGAGAGUUUCAAUGAACCAGUCUUUAAAGCAUUCAUUUUAUUUGUAUGGAUAAUAGAGCUUGGUUCGCAUGAGAAAGCAUCGCCUACCGAUCCAGAUUGCUUGCCUUUGAUCAGAAAGGGCUUGAUUAAACGCGUAAUGUAGGCUUGGGCUAUUGGUUAUGAAGAAAAAGGAUAUUUACAAGCUCAAAAGGUGUUUAAGAGAUUUCAAGACUAAGGAUCACUUGUGCUUGUUUCCUGACCUUUUGUCUUUGGAAUAUCUUCCCAAAAUGGUCUAUCGUGCCCCCUAGUGUUGGGCUUAGGCUCUUUCUCUUUGUUUUUGUUUUUUUUAAUUGGUUUUGAGUAUCAUUGUAUUGGAUUUUUUUUUAUGCUCUGAAGUUUUAGAUCUUUUGGAUUUUUCUUCAUGUCCCCAGCUUUGUUUUGGCACCUUCGAUGGUUGAGAAUUUUCUUUUAUGCCCCCCAGUGUUGCUUGGGCACUUUUAAUCAUUGUUUUUUUCUUCUUCUCGCACUUGCUCCCAGUGUGGGGUGUGAUCCUAGCCAAGGUUAUUCCUAAAAAAAACUUUAUUAGGCUCAAAAGAGGACUGCAAAGGAUAUAUUUUAGCCUCGUGAAAUGAUUAUCAAAGAUGGCCUUUCUUCAUUCCAAACUCCUGCAUUUAGGAUCGGUAAGCCUUGCUUUCAUGCGAGUAUGCAAAGUGAUUUCUCAUUAUUCAUUCAGAUAAAACUCAGCUUUGGAGUCACAUCAUGGUGUUUUUGUUGUUUGUUUUUUUUUGUUUUCUAGGUGUAUGAUUACCUUUCUAAGGAAUCGCUUGAAUUUUCAGAACUUGUUUGUUUAGACAAAUACCAAUAUGAUUUCUGUCUCAUAUCAAAAACUUUGAAUUCCAAAAAAAAAACUUUAUGAACAUGUGAAAUCAUGCAUAAUUGGAGGGAAAAAGUGAAACACGUAAGUGGUUUCAUGGGUAAAGGUUAUGCUUAGUGUGUUAUUUGUAUGAAAUGGCAACAAAAAUAAAAGUACGUUAUGAGAACACAGGAAAACACAUGGUCUUAUUUAACAAGAAAUGCUCAUUUGACAGAGAAAGUCUUGUGGUAUUAUGAGCCCAAAUUACCAACAAGACUGAAACAAGUUAAAACUGACAUGAUCAAACAAAAGACAAUAAUAAGGCAUGCUUCAUCCUUUCAUUUUGGCAAAUCCCCUUUUAGGCUAGCUUCCCCACAACAGCUCUUGUAGAGGACUCAUUGACGAUAUGGACAAAAACUAUGGUCGAAAUUCGAGACCUUCAAAAUUUAUGCUGCCUUUUUCGCACCCUACCUAAAUCAUCGGUGCUUUCAGAUUUCCCGGACAUUCCACCGCUAGUGCAUUUAUGAUCUACCACUUCAAGCAUGAUUAGGUAGAGGGUUCGUGUUCACAUUAGAAGUGUCUUCCAAUUCUAUCCACCCUGCCUUGAUUAAUUGCAAAAGUUUUCUCUUGAAGGCGUUGCAAGUAUGGAUACUAUGUCCAGCAACACCAGCAUGGUAUGCGCAAGUGAGCUCUGGCUUGUACCAGCUAGGGUAAGGUGGCUGCACCGGCGUCAGAGGUUCGGGAGCUACACGCCCGAUGCUUAAUAACUUCUGGUACAUCGCAUUUAGGGGUAACAGUAAUGGAGGUAGUUGUUCUUGGACCCUUUGGUAAUUUCCAAUUUGGCUUUUGGCUUGAAAAGGCUCAGGUUUUUUUAUUUUGGCAAUUUGGGACGGAGUGUGGUAGUUUUGGGAUGAGUUUUUCCUACCCUUGUAGCCAUCUUCAACAUGGUUGACCUCCUUCCUUUCGAAGCCUUUUUUUCGGUGGGUGCAGAAAUUCUACCACUCUUGACGCCUUGCUCUAUGCGUUCGCAUACUACCACAACGUCAGUGAAUUGUUGAGCCGAACUACCCAUCACAUGCUCGUAAUAUGGCGCUUUGAGUGUGUCGGCAAAUAAAGUGACCAUCUCUUUGUCCAAAAGUGGAGGAUGGACUUGAGCAACUGAUUCUCGCCAUUUUUGAGCAUAUUCCCUUAUGCUUUCUUUGUCCUUUUUCCCUAGAUUGGACAAGCUAGUUCUAUCGAGAGCAAUGUCCAUGUUGUACUUGUAUUGCUUGACAAAAGCCUCCACAAGAUCUUUUCAUCUCCGGAUCUUUGUGUUGUCCAAUCUCAUGUACUAGUUCAAUGCUGACCCACUUAAGCUAUCCUAAAAAAAAUGCAUCAAUAGUUUUUCAUCAUGCACUACUUCUGCCAUUUUAUUGCAAUAGGACUUGAGGUGAGUCAUGGGGCAUUGUGUUCCACUAUAUUUGAUGAACUCAGGAACACGAACUUCUUCGGGACAACCAUAUUUGGGACUAGACACAUCUUCGCUGCCCGUACUGGAUCAUAUAAGUCUACCCCUUCAAUGACUUUGAUUCUGGCUUCCAGCGUCGCUAUCUUUUCUUGAUUAAGGCCAUCAGAUGACUUGGCCUGGUGGGACUCGUUAGCAAAUGCAUCCAUGACUGCUGGGGCUGGUGCAGGUGUCGUUGACUGCACAAAUGCUGGAUUAUAUUGAGGCUCUUGACCAUGUUCACUCAUUAUUUCUUUGGGUUGAGCUGUUGUUGGAGUCUGAUUAAAAGUGACCGGUCGGUUAGAAGGACCUUCACCAGAGGCAUUUCUCAAAGUUUGCUCGAGUAAGCUAGUAAGGCGAGCUACGCUUGUCUUCAGAGACUCCAAUUCUUCUUGAAAAUAGGCAUCACGGUGAGCGCGUUCUUCAUCUUCCAUGUUUCUCGCUCGAAGUCGGGUGUUGUAGACUCAUUGGGGACCUAUAUUUCAACAUGUUGUAUGUAUGUAUGUUAUUUACAAAUGAAUGGAUGUAUGCAUAUGGAUGCAAAUGUAUAUACAUGCAUAUUAGAGAGUUCAUACUCUAGCGAUAGGUUUUAGGCCAUUACAUGAUGGGUGGCUUUUUACCUGGUCUCAAAAGGGUCUCUUGUUGUCCCAGUGAUCACCCUCGUGAAGGCAAUAUAGGGGCUCAGCAGGUAAUGGGAUGGCAUGUGCACCAAUCAUUAUCAGUUUAAGCUCUCAACGAAGAGUUGAGGUUUACACAAACGUAAACCUUGACUAAAAGUCGUAAAGUAAGCUGCUAGUCCCUCACCUAAUUAAAGUUUUUCGGUAUAAAUUCCCUUAAAAUGUGAAUGAUGCAUUAAGCAAUUUUACAAUGCAAACAAAUAUGUACAAAAUUAAAGCGUAUGAGCAAAUGAGGAAAUACAUUGUCGUACCCUCGCGGCGGAGCUUGGCGUCGCGGCGACCCUCAAUUGAUUUCUGGGUCGUUUUGUUUAUUUAUGGAUAAAGAGAGUCGCCACCUAGUAUUAUGGUCACUAGGAACCCUAACUGGUCUUUCAGAGAUUCUAAGGCAAGUGACUGGUUGCGUAAAGAGAAGGUAUUAGCACCUCUAGCACGCCCUACCUAAGGUAAGUUGCUUGGUGUUUGGUUUACCUUAUAAUUGCUAUGGUGUUGGUGUUUUCUAAUCCCAUCAGUUUUUCUAAGAUACAUUUUGCUAUGUUGAACAAACUCGAACUGAAAGUCUAAAAAGAAAGAACCCUUGGUCAAUGUGGAUCACACCCUUAGAUGUGUCUACAAAGUACCAAGGAGAACCAAUGCAGAUCUCUUGAAAUCUGUGUUUGAUUCAGACUAAACUUAUUAAGAUAGAAAUCCAAGGAGAUUCCAUGUGCUUUAAAAGCUCAUUUUUCCCUUAGUAUUUCAAGAGUUUACGACUCGUAAAUCACAAGGAGGAGGGACAAAAAUUUAAAAAUCUAAGGAAAUUCAGGGCGCUUUAAAAGUAUAUUUUUGCCUUAGUGUUUCAUACUCUCACGACUCGUAAACCAUGGAGUAAAAAAAAUGGAAAUGUCCUUGAUUAUAAUCAAGGCUUCUUUCUAGGAUGUGUAAUGACUUAUUAUUCAUAGAAAAUUAUUUUGGAUAUUUACUACUUAGGGUUUCUUUAUCCAAAUGUUAACAGUGAAUAAUAACCAGUUAUUCCCAAUAAUAUUUUGGAUAUUCAUUCAUUUGGGAUUUCUUUAUCCAAACAUUAAUAGUGAAUAAUAGAUGAAUUCCCCACAAAAUAAGAUUUUUAUAAUUUUUUGGAAUAUUGGCCAAUACCCUUUGGAGUUUUACAAACAUGUUGUAAAAUCCAGAAAUGCAAGAAAAUAAUUUUGUUGUGUUUAAGAAAUCCAUGCGAAGACACAUUUUCGAAAACUUCCAAUAUAUUUUUUUUAUAUAAAAAAAAACGUUCAAAACAUGUUAGGGUAUUGACCGUAUGCAAUACACAAGAAACAUUGUUUUUGUCAAAAACACGGAAAACAUGAGAGUCAGUCGGUUAAAAAAACCAUACACAUCCAUUCCAAAAUUUGUAAAAAAAAACUCAAAACACUGAUAUAUAUAAAAAUAAAUUUUCCAAAGCUAAAUUUUACUCACAUAAGAUUCAGUCGGUCCACUUAAACCCAAAUCCUAUGAAAAAAAUCCUUAUGCACCAGAAGACUAAGAUUCGGAGACCGAAACCAUAACAGGAACCAUAACUCACCAAUUCCUUUUUUCAAUCUUUUAAUACUGCCACGCUUGUUUCAUGCAUAAAGAAAAGACUUGAGCAGCACCCUUAUAUUAAACAAUUAAAAACUAACAACACAAACCAAAGGCCAUCUCUCUCUUGUUUUCAAAAGAAAAUAACAUAAAUGAAAACGUGAACCAAAAGUCUGCCAAAAGGGACUCUUCUCAUGCCUUUUACUUUCUCCACGGAACAUUCUCUUGCGUUAUUUACUUUCUCCUUUGGCCAAAGCUUUGUUUAGAAACAGAACUUCUCUUAUGCAGCAUUAUAAGACCGAGAGGUACCGGACAAAGGGGACUAGAGGUGGUGAAGGCCUUUAAGCCUCACAGUCUCUUACAAAAAAAAAAGGGAGAAGGAAGAGACGCAUAACUCUAAUAUAGACAAACUAUCUAAACUCAACAUGUAUGAAAAAACAAAUGAGCAAGCGUACAACUUGUUGACAAAACAGAAAAAACGUACGUCCCAGACGAGCAGAAACAGGUUUUUUGAAAGAACAAUCAGCAGACACCAGCUUUGAAAUAUUGCAAGGAAGGAGAAACUAAAACUUAUACCUGCGAAUCCUGCUUGUUCUGAAUGCCAAAGAUGACGUACCAGCCGAUGGGCAAAGCUUCUGCAUUCUCGCCUCUGGUGACCACAGAAAGACUCCUUCUCUUUCCUUUCUCCUCUCUCUAUUUUGGUCUUCUCUGUCUCUCCCGUUUUUCUCCUCUUUUCUGUCUUUUUUUUCUCCUUUUUUUCCGUCCUCUUUUCUGUCCUCUUUCUCUCUUUUUUUCAUCCUCCUUUUUUUCUCUUCUUAGGUCAGCAGAGGCAGCGUAUAUAUAGUCUAUACACAGCUCUUAUUAGGAAAGAUUCAAUGCAUUAAUCUAGGAUGCAAAUCCCAGCUGAUUUUCAGCCAAAUAAUUAAAAUGAGGAAACUACAAUAUUCUCAUUGAUUAUGUGCUGAUUCUAGUGAUUUCUUUCCAACAUUAACACAUCAUCCCAGCCAUCUAUGUUAAGGAUAAAAUCCUAGCCAUUAGAUGAUGGUGAGGUUCUUCUCUUUAUGGCAUUUUGCAGCUGUCAAAAGCUGCUGUUUCCUAUGAAUUAUAGCUGCACAAAAACAUGAUUUUCCUUAUUCGGUGUGGUAGAAAUCCCGUCAUUUAUGAUCACCCAGCCCCCUCUCCAGCUUCCAAUAUCCUUCUUCAAUUAAAUCCCUCAUUUUAGCACUUUUCAAUUCAGUCCUUGGUCCCAAAAAAAUCCCUCGAAUCAGGCUCGCGAACAUGGGCAAAAAUCCUUCUCGCAGCAAGAAUCCCUGCUUUCACACUAGAUAUUCAUAUGGGAAUAUCUUGAGCUUCUGAUAUUGAAAUCAAGCGAUUCAAAAGCCCAAAUUCAUCUACGUGUCCUGGACUACAACUUUGAUGAAGGAUUCGAAGUGAGAUAAAUUUGUUUUGAAUAAUAGAAUUGAAACCAAACUCGGCUAGAAACCUUCUCGCGGCAGGAUUCUAUGUUUUCACGCUAGAUUUCAAAUAGGAAUAUCUUGAGCUUCUGAUAUCAAAAUCAAUCAAUUCAAAAGCCUAAAUUCAUCUACGUGUCCCGGACUACAAAUUUGAUGAAGGAUUCAAAGUGAGAUAAAAUCGUUUUAGAUAACAGAAUCUGGCAGGGAUCUGGCUGGUCAAAAAGGUUUUCUUGAUCUGACAAUGUCGAGCAUCCAAAUCUGACUGAGAGUCUGCCCUAAGAACAGUAACCCCUAUGACCCAAUAAAGGUGUAGGUCAAUUCUUCGACAUGUCAUGAGUGAUAGCAAAUAGCUAGGAUGGUCAGAUAUCGUACGAAACCAAGUCAGAAUCAGAGCCUAAGUUCAAACAAAAAAUUGCGACAGCAGCAGAAUCAGUUUUUUUAGUGCAAAUUUUGAGGGAUUUAUCCAACCUUUAAAACAAGAUAACGAAAGAACGAAUUUAGCAUUAUGAAGACCCCUAGUGAGUCUAAGAAACCUGACGAUUUUGGCAGCAAAGGGGAAGGAUAAAGAGAGUAGAAAACAGCUCAAACAGGGUUUCAAAAAAAUAUUUCUUUUUCUGCUUUUGUCAAUCUUCCAACAAACAUGAGUUAAACUCCUACAUUUAGUUCAAAAGAGGUAUACACCGUCUCCAGCACGUGGAGUACAAAAAUGAGUAAUAACAGUUGCCCCCUCUUUACAAUGCUUACAAAGCAAAACUUGUCAAGUGCUUCGCGUAGUAAGUGUUGUAAAGAUAAAUUGUCUAAUCAUGCUAAAACUCAAUGCUUUUUCUAAACAAUAGUCUCCCUAUCAGGUAACCUGCCUAUCUUAAGAUUUCUAGAAAAAUUCCACUUUUUUUUUAAAAUGGUCCAAUUAUCGGGUGACCUGCUCAUCCUAAAAUUCUUAGAAAACUCACGCUUUUCUAAGAAAUGGUUUCAAUAUCAGGUGACCUUCCCAUCUUAAAAUUCUUAGAAAACUCCACGCUUUUCUAAGAAACGGUCUCAAUAUCGGGUGACUAGCCCCUCUUAAAAUUCUUAGAAAACUCCACGCUUUUCUAAGAAACGGUCUCAAUAUCGAGUGACCGGCCCAUCUUAAGAUUCUUAGAAAACUCCACGCUUUUCUAAGAAACGGUCUCAAAAUCGAGUGACCGCCCAUCUUAAGAUUCUUAAAAAACUCCACGCUUUUCUAAGAAACGGUCUCAAUAUCAGGUGACCGGCCCAUCUUAAAAUUCUUAGAAAACUCCACACUUUUCUAAGAAAAUGUCUCAAUAUCGGGUGACCUGCCCAUCUUAAGAUUCUUAGAAAACUCCAUGCUUUUCUAAGAAACGGUCUCAAUAUCGGGUGACCGACCCAUCUUAAAAUUCUUAAAAAACUCCACGCUUUUUUAAGAAACAGUUUCAAUAUCAGGUAACCGACCCAUCCUAAAAUUCUUAGAAAACUCCACGCUUUUCUAAGAAAUGGUCUCAAUAUCGGGUGACCUGCCCAUCUUAAGAUUCUUAGAAAACUCCACGCUUUUCUAAGAAAUGGUCUCAAUAUCGGGUGACCUGCCCAUCUUAAGAUUCUUAGAAAACUCCACGCUUUUCUAAGAAACAAUCUCAAUAUCAAGAGACUGGCCCAUCUUAAAAUUCUUAGAAAACUCCAUACUUUUCUAAGGAAUGGUCUCAAUAUCGGGUGACCUGCCCAUCUUAAGAUUCUUAGAAAACUCCAUGCUUUUCUAAGAAACGGUCUCAAUAUCAGGUGACCAGCCCCUCUUAAAAUUCUUAGAAAACUCCACGCUUUUUUAAGAAACGGUUUCAAUAUCGAGUGACCGCCCCAUCCUAAAAUUCUUAGAAAACUCCACGCUUUUCUAAGGAAUGGUCUCAAUAUCGGGUGACCUGCCCAUCUUAAGAUUCUUAGAAAACUCCACGCUUUUCUAAGAAACGGUCUCAAUAUCAGAUGACCGGCCUAUCUUUAAAAUUCUUAGAAAACUCCAUGUUUUUCUAAGAAACGGUUUCAAUAUCCGGUGACCAGCCCAUCCUAAAAUUCUUAGAAAACUCCACGCUUUUCUAAGAAAUGGUCUCAAUAUCGGGUGACCUGCCCAUCUUAAAAUUCUUAGAAAACUCCACGCUUUUCUAAGAAACGGUCUCAAUAUCGGGUGAACUGCUCAUCUCAAACUUCAAAAGAAAACAUCUUACCUCAGAAAAUGAAGCAUUGCUGGUUCACAAUUCCUAUCCUUUUUUGUAGUUUCGUUGACCUGAGAUUUUGUACCUCAGCGGUUUUCCCAAAAACUUGGAACUAUUUUGGCUUUCGUCACAUCUUCUCCUGCUAGGUUAGUGUUAUAACAAUAUAGCAUGCAUGUUUUUUUGUUACCUAUUUUGGAAACAUAGGUCCCCCUUUCUGUUGUAGACUUAUUGAGCUCCUGUUUCCAUUUGUUUGUCCAACUCGUCCUCUUGAAAUGAAAUAUGCUCCACGUGUUAUACUUCCUAUCCUCUUGGUGAAGAGAUCUUUGGUUCCUUAUGGGGCCCUUUCUUGCUCUAUUGAGUAUUGUCUUUUAUUAUUAUUUUAAAAAGAAAAACUCAAAAGAUUUGGUUUUGUUCAUGAAAACUAAAACUUUCAAUGCAAUUAGCAAUUCUCAUAAAAGAUGCUUUUUUAGAAGUUUUUAUGAUGAUACCCCUUUGGGCUUUAGUUCACUAUGGACCCCUAUGUGCACUUUUUGCCCUAGUGUGGUGUGCAAUACCUGUCAGUUUAAAAAUUGGUUCGGUUCUCUCCAAUUGAUGGAGUCAUUUCCUUAGUCAUGCGUAAGAAAAGAGUUUAUUUAAGUAUGAGAUCAUGCGUUUUAUGAAGAAAAGGUGCUUUUCAGAGAGAAUUCAUGGCCGAACUUUAUUUUAUUGAUUGGGAAAUUACGGAAUACAUCAAGCAUAAUAUUUCCUUACAGAGUCAGAAUUCACUGGCCUAACUAGGUCUUCUCCAUCCAUUCUAGAUAACAGCAAAGCUCCUCCCGAGAAUGCUUUCUUCACCAUGUAAGGGCCCUCAUAGUUCGGUGCCCAUUUACUUUGAUCUUCUCCUGGUAAAGGCAAUACUUUCUUCAGUACAAGAUCUCCUUCGUGGAAUCCUCAAAGUCGAACCUUCUUAUCAUAUGAUUUGGCCAUUCUUCUUUGGUAUAGUUGAUGAUGGCAGAUUGCAGUGAUAUCCUCUUUUCACUUAUCAGAUUCAACUUUUCAUAUCUAACUUUUACUCACUCUACCUUUUCUAGCUCAGAGUCUACCAAUACUCUUAAUGAGGGGAUUUCAACUUCUAAAGGCAUCACCGCCUCUAUUCCAUAUACCAAUGUAUACGGGGUGGCUCCUAUUGAGGUUCGGAUUGCGGUGCGGUACGUGUGAAGGGAAAAUGGCAACAUCUCAUGCCAAUCCUUAUAGGUGACUACCAUCUUCUAAAUAAUCUUUUUGACAUUCUUGUUAGCAACUUCUACCACAUCAUUCAUCUUUUGUCUAUACGGCGAAGAGUUGGAAUGCUUGAUUUUCCAUUUAGCGCAGAGUUCUAUUAUCAUCUUGCCAUUGAAAUUCUGGCAGAGCCACCUAACCAACCUUGCAGGAGAAGAAGAUGAAUAGUAUCUUACGAUUUAGUCCUUCAAUUUGUGAUUUAUUUCUUUCUACACCCCUGAUUGGCUUCAAACUUUCAAUUUUGUUCAAUUUUACCCAUGAAGAACUUCAAUUUAAACCCUAGAUUUUGACGCAUUUUUCCCUUUGGUCCUUGGUUUUGGAUUUAUGCAAUUUGACCUUUAAUUGAUCAAUAAACUUUCAAAUUCUUCAAUUUGACCCCUGAUUUGGUCACUUUCAGUUUCUUUAUUUACGCGCCUUUUUCAAUUUGGUCAUUGGUUUUGGAUUUCUUAAAUCAAGUCCCUAAUUGGCCAUCAAACUUCAAUAUCUAUUCAAUUAAACCCCUGAUUUGACCAAAUCAACUUUCAAAAUUGUACUUUGACCCCAGAACCUUAAUUUCUUCCAAUUAAAGCCUAAAUUGACUUAAAAAUCAAUUUUUCUUGUAAUAAAUCCCUAUAUAAAUUCAAUUAAACCUCCAAUAAAAUUUAAUUGAGUCCAUAAACAUCUGAUUUUGGACUUUUUUUCCUCAAAUUGAAUUUUUCUUUGUCAACAGGGCUCUUCAUCUGUAAAAUAUAAUGUCAAAUUUUAAUCUUUGAAUUUUUGAGCCUCCUCAAACAAUUUCUAUAUAUUUUCUAGGCGCUCUGACAUCCUCUUCUCACUGUUAUUAUUUUUUAGAUUUUUUUUUUGUUUUUAGUUCGAAUAUUUUUAGAUUUUUUGGAAGAGAAAAGGUGAAUUUGGGGAAUAGCCCAAAAAUGGGUUAUGAUAAAUAUAUUAUUUUAAAUUUUACAAAACUAAAAUUUAAAAAAUAAUUAUAUAUAAGCCAAGUGUAAAAAACAUAAAUUAUUUAAAUAAUCAUACAAAUUUUUCUAUGUUCUUGGACAAAAACAAAAACUAUUGUAAUACCCAAACAAGCAUGUAAAAUAUCCAAAAUAGUAUAAAGAUAUUUUUUUUCUAACCAUAGGAUUACCCUCUGCCAACAACUAAAGGUGUGCCAUGGAUUUUAAUUAUUAUUUUUUAAAAUUGAGCACUAAGCAGAAGCUCACCCUACUACAAAAGCAUUACAAUAACAUCAAGAUCUUGAGAAACGAUAACCAACAAAGCAGAAACUGAUUAAGAGGAAGAAGAUUCCAAUAGCUUCACAUGAUAGUUUAGCAUUACAAAGCCUUUACUGAACCAACUAAAUGAUUUGCCUGGUCAAAGCAUCACUUUCCUUUUCUCUUUUUUUAAGUCUAAUGUUGAUAUAGUUUAGGUUCGUACUUGAAUUCUUUAUAGUAAACAUUCGGUUAUGUGUUUAAGACUGGUUGUUGAUAUGGUUCAGCCUUGGGUUUUUCAUGAUGAGUCUUUAUCUAGGGAUGUAUUCGGUCAGAUUGAGGUUCUUAUUGAUGAUGUGUUUGACCCAAUUAUUUUGAUGGGUAAUUCGACUAGAUCAGGACAGGUUAUGCAUGAGAUGUUUUUAGGCAGCAAAGAAAGUUUAUUUGGAGUAUAUUUUGGGUCUGGUUUGGUCCCUAUUAAUGAAUAUAGGUUUGGGACACGUGGGGUUCAAAGUUGGCUUGGGUUAAUUAAGAUGUUAUGAUCAGAUUAGAUCAGAUUUGUUUGGGAUUGAUUUUCUAAUUCUACAAGGACUUAAAUCAGCAAAAUACUCUCCUAAAAUUCAAGAAAAUUUCAAUCAUUAUUUUACCUAUUAUUUAGGAGAAUAGUUAACAACAAGGGAUGUUAAGGGGACUGCCAGAUCUGAUUUCAUAAACUAGGAAGGAUUAAUUAAUAAUUCUCCUAGUCUAGAUAGGAAACUAAAUUGGCAAGUAUAAAAGAGAGAUUUUCUUCAUUAAUUGUCCAUGUAAAACAAGAAAACUAAGCACAACAAGGUAAUAAAACUUCAGAAUCAAUUCCACAUUCAAAUCAGAUUUCCUAGUCUAUUUGGAACUUUUUAAGGGUGGCAAAUCUGAUUCAUAUUAACUUUGAAUUUUUAUUAUUUUCUUCUUAGUCUUUGGUUUAUUAUUACUUAUUUGGGUCAAUUUUGUAAGUGGGCUCAAAUCAGUCCACACAUGGGUUCCAUUAGGGUUAUUUGAAACAUUAUAUAAGUUUUGUGUAUAUUGAAAAGCAGAACACAUGAAUUUAUGAAAUAAACUUGUGUUUUGCGUGAUGAAACACAUUAUCUUUGUUGGGACAAAUAUCAAAUCUGACUUAUUAAUGCUGACCUUGUGGUGUCAUUCGUUUCAAUUCCAAUAGUGUUGGUGCCUUGGGACAGGUUUUUAUUGUGCCAAACUUCUCAAACCUAAUUCUCGGCUUUCUUGGAGAAGUAUCAUCUUCGUUGGAGGUUGCUUAACCACGUGAUCAAGAGGUUCGCAUUAAAUAUUUCUCUAUGAUCAUAUUGUAUUGAUGAAUCAAUAUAUUUUAUAUAUUUUAUUUUAUUGCCUAAGUCCAUGUUUAAAAAAGCUAAAGGCGGGGGGAUGAGAAUCACAUAAAAAGAGCAUGUCAAUCCUUUGAAAGUUCCAAGGUUAUUGCUUUAGAGAGACCUACAUGUUUUUUUUUUUUUUUCAUAUGAAGGAAUUUGUAGUGUUAAAAUUACAUUUGUUAGGUUUUCUUUUCAUUUUUAACUCCCUUUUUAAUCUAUUCUCAUAUAUGACAAAACAUUAAUUUUUAAAUACGAGGCACAUCAUGAAUAUUUUAUUUAUAAUAAAAUUCUUAAACUAGCCAAACAAAUAAAAAUUUAAACAAGAAUAAAAAAAAUAAAAGGUAAAGAAAACCGACAAGAAAAUUUGAAAAUAAUAUAAUCAAGAUGGUAAUUUUUUUUCUUUUAUUAGAAAGAAAAGAAAAGAAAUUAAAUUAGUCAUGCCUUCAUACCCACAACCAAUCAACAUGAUGUAGUAAAUGGGAAAAAAAAACUAGAAAUUGCCAGAAACUAUAAAUUUACGAAGAGGCUUGAAAAAAAAAGAAAAAAGAGAGAGAGAGAAUCAUUUCCUAGUCACCAACAUCAUCUAUUUCAUUAGCGUUUUGCAUGCUUUCUUUUCUAUUUUUGAUGUACUAGCUUCGUACUUGUGCUUUAUUUUAUUUUAUGAAUUUUAUACAACUUAACCUUUUUCAAAAAAAAAUAAUAAAACAAAAAAGAUGGUGUUUGUAACUUCUUUUAGUACUUGUUUAGCCAUUUUAUCUCUAGCUUAAUUUGAUCGAAUUUUGACAAUACUAAAUAUAAAUUAAUAUUUAUUUAUUUAUUUUUCAUAUUGAGGAAUUUGUAGUGUUAAAAUUACAUUUAUUAGUUUUCUUUUCAUUUUUAACUCCCUUUUUAAUCUAUUCUCAUAUAUGACAAAACAUUAAUUUGUAAAUACGAGACACGUCUAUUUACGAAUAGGCUUGAAAAAAAGAAAAAAAAAAAGAGAAUCAUUUCCUAGUCACCAACAUCAUCUAUUUCAUUAGUGUUUUGCAUGCUUUCUUUUCUAUUUUUGAUGUAUUAGCCUUAGCCUUGUGCUUUAUUUUAUUUUAUGAAUUUUAUACAACUUAACCUUUUUCAAAAAAAAAUAAUAAAACAAAAAAGAUGGUGUUUGUAACUUCUUUUAGUACUUGUUUAGCCAUUUUAUUUCUAGCUUAAUUUGAUCAAAUUUUGACAAUACUAAAUAUAAAUUAAGCUUUGGCUAUUCUUAUCUUCAAGGUAAUAUUAAGUACAUAUUAUAUUUCACUCAAACAAGUACAUGUUUCUUUUUGUAAUUUUGGUAAAAAAACUAAAUAUACAAGCUUUUCAAAUGUAUUUUUUUAUUCUAAUUAAAAAUAAAAAAAAGUCUAUUCCUUCAUUUAAUUAAAUAAUUGAGAACCAUCUAUGCGAAUAAAUACAAAAAAACAAAGUAUUAUCACAUCUAUUCAACUCUCCUUGCUGUGGAUUAAAUAAAUUUUUUUCUAACACAAAAGAAUUCUUGUGUAGGUAUUAUUAACGUUUUUUCUGACAUAAACUACGAAAGAUAACUGUGAAUCAAAAAGUCAAUGCUUAAAUAUAGUAAAGAUCAUAUGUGUUAAUAAAAACAUAUAAAAUUUCAAAUUAAUUUUUAACGUAGAAGAAAAAUAAGAAUAUAGCUUUUUGCAACGUAUAAACAUGUAAACAUAUUAAGUACAUGUUAUAUUUCACUCAAACAAGUUCAUGUCUCUUUUUGUAAUUUGAACAUCGAAGCAGUAACUAUGCUUUAAAUAAAAUAAAAAAUAAACCUUCCUUGUAUUUGAACCUUACAAGGCAUUUUAUAUAUUAACAAUAUCUAAAUGGUGUGGGGGAAUCACUGUUUCCCCACACCUAAAUCAUUAUGUAUUACAACAGUAAUUCACCGUGAUUCUUCCCCCCUUUUGUUUUUGCUAACUUUUUCCUUUUUUCUUUUUUUUCAAAAUUACUUUUUUUUUUCAACUUUCCUAUUUUUUCUUUUUUUUUAUUUCUUUUUUUUUUCCAAAAUUAUUUUUGUUUCUUUAAAAUAUUGUGGAUUGCUGCGAUGUUUUUCCACAUAGUUUUUCUAUUUUAUUUCUUUAUUUUUUAAAAUUAUAUUUGUCGAUUUUUUUUUAAUAUUGAGCUGAUUGAGAAUUUAGUUUUAUAGUUUUUUUUCUUUAAAACAUUGUUGAUUGCUACAGUGUUUCUCCGCAUGGUUUUUUUAUGAUUUUCUCUGAAAUUAUCUUUUUUAUUUUAUUUUUUAAUAUUGAGCUGGUUAAAAAUUACAGUUACAAUAUGUGAGGAAAGCACUGUAACUUUCUUUGAAAGUUACUGUUGAUUGCUACAGUUUUUUUCCCACAUGGUUUUUUUCUGUUUUUGUUAUGUUUUUCCCUAAAAUUAUCUUUGUUAAUUUUAUUUUUUAAAUAUUAAGCUGGUUAAAAAUUGCAAUUACAAGUAAAUACAAGUUUUUCCUCACAAAACACUAUGGAUUGAUACAGUUUUUUCUCACAUGGUUUUUUUCCAGUUUCUUUUGUGUUUUCUUUUUUUGUGAUAUUUUUUUCCAAAAUUAUCUUCGUCGAUUUUAUUUUUUUAAUAUUGAGUUGUUUAGAAUUUAACUUUGUAAUAAAGCUUAAUCACGUGGGGAAAGCAUAGUAGCUUUGCUCAUAAAACAUUAUAGAUUGCUACAGUGUCUCUCCGCAUAGUUUUUUUUGUUAUAAUUUUUUUCAAAUUAUCUUUUUCAAUUUUAUUUUUUUAAUAUUGAGUUGUUUGUGAAUUACAAUUACAAGUCAUUACAAAUAAAGCUAAAUCAUGUGGGGAAGUAUUGUAGCUUUCAUCACAAAACACUGUGAAUUACUACAGUGUUUCCAACAUGAUUUUUUUUCCUUUUUUUUGUUAUUUUUUUUUCUAAAAUUGUCUCUGUUGAUUUUUUUUAAUAUUGAGCUGAUUAAGAAUUUAGCUUUGUAAUUUUUUUUUCUUUAAAACACUGUGAAUUGUUGUAGUGUUUUCCCAUGUGAUUUUUUUAUGAUUUUUUUCAAAAUUAUCUUUGUCAAUUUUUUUUUGAAUAUUGAGUUGGUUAAGAAUUAUAAUUACAAUAAAGGUAAAUCAUAUGAGGAAAACGUUGUAGUUUUUCUCACAUAACACUGUGGACUGCUACAAUAUUUCUCUAAAUGGUUUUUUAUUUUAUUUUAUUGGGAAAAGAUUUUCCUCACAAAACAUUGUCAAUUGCUACAAUGUUUUUUCUCAUGGGUUUUUUUCCUUCCAAAAUUAUCUUUGUUGGUUUUUUUUUAAUAUUAAGUUGGUGGAGAAUUUAGCUUUGUAAUUGUUUUUCUUUUUAUUAACUGAAAAACUAAAUCAUGUGGCGAAAGCACUGUAUCUUUCCUCACAAAACAUUGUAGAUUGCUACAAAUCAUUUUGUUCAGUCUCUAAAUUUUUUAUCACCAACACAACUUUUUUUUUCAUCAUGAAAUAUUUGCUCCUUCAUACCUUUAAUUUCUAUUACUUAUCUAGCGUUGGUUCACAAUUAUAACACUAUCAAGUGCAUUCUCGCGGUAGCGCGCGGGCAUUUCAUCUCGUAUAUAUGAAAUUUCAAUAUCAACUAUAUGAAUAUAGCUUAUAAUUCAUGUGAUCCUCAAAACCAACUAGGAUGACAAUUCUAAAAGAUAAAUAAAAUCACCAUGUAGAUUUUUAUUGAUUAUGUUCCAUACAUUUUAUCAUGGAUAUAAAAAAAACACGGUACAAUUAUUAUUUCUCAUGCCCUUCGUCGCGGGUUGGAUAAUCUUUUUAGUAAAAAACUAAAUAUACAAGCUUUUCAAAUGUAUUUCUUUUAAUUCUAAUUAAAAAUAAAAAAAAAGUCUAUGCAUGCAUUUAAUUAAAUACAUUGAGAACCAUCUAUGGGAAUAAAUGCAACAAAAAAAAAAAGCGGUAUCGCGUCUAUUCAACUCUCCUUGUUGUGGAUUGAAUUAUUUUUUUUCUAACACAAAAGAAUUAAUGUGUAGGUAUUAUUAACGUUUUUUCUAACAUCAAGUAAGAAAUAUAACCGUGAAUCAAAAAGUUGAUGCUUAAAUAUAAUAAAAUAUAGUAAAGAUAAUAUGCGUUAAUAAAAACUUGUAAGAUCCCAAACUAAUUCUUAAUGUAGCAGAAAAAUAAAAUAAUGUUGCAAUUGUUAUAGUGAAACAUCAUUUUCUUAAUCUUUGUAUAAUAUUUUUUUCAAAGAAGAGUGUAAAGAACAAAACUUAAAAAACAAAUUACAAAAGAAUAAAGAUAAGAACAAAAAGAAUAGUAUAAAUGACGCAAGUGUAGAUUGAUAAAUAUUCAAUAUAUAUAUAUAUAUAUAUAAAGAAAAACUAAAAUGAUAUUAUAAAAAAAACAGAAAAAAUAGUGUUAAAUAGACCAAGUAUAAAAUGUUAAAAAAAUAAAGUAUAAAAAAAAUAACAAUAAUGACCCAAAUAUGAGAAUCUAUUGAGUUAACUACUAAACACUCUAGAUCAUUUACUCUAAUAUAUAAUCAUUUUAGAUCUUUUCUCUUAUAAUAAAUGAAAUUAAGUGAAUUAAAAUUAACUUGCAAACCUCAACUGGGCUUUCCAGUUUGCCCAGGCAAGCUGUGAGAUAAAUUGCAAUACUAAUUAUUAACAAUGAUGAUCCUCUAAAUUGAUUAUUUAUAUUCUCCAACCUUUACUGAAAUUAAAAUAAGUGCUUAUAAUAACAAAACAAUAUAUUCUCUAGUCAAAAAGGAUUAUUAUCAAAUCUAAAAGAAACUCCUACAAACUUGAUAAUUUUAUCUCCUUAGCAUUCAAUACUGUUAAAGUAAUCCAAAUUAACAUAAAAAAAUAUAAACAUAAAAGAAAAAAAAGCCAAAGUUCUCGUUAAUUUGUUUUAAUCUAAAUACAAAGAGAUUAUAUAUAUGUUAAACUAAAAAUAUGAUUGUAUCCUUAAUAAAUAAAAUAAGAUAAAUAUAGUAUUUAAAAAAUACAAGAUCUUAACAAUAUACUUAUUUGGCAUUUAAAACCAAGUUAGGUUUUUUUUAUAAAAAAAAAAUACCUAUAUGCAAAAAUUAUAUCAUUUCAUUGUUAUGUGAAGGUCAUACAAUUGGCAUCUUUUAUUUUUGCUUUAAAAAAUUUUGAAUUUUUUUUCUUCCAGUUAUUUUUUUAAUGUUUUUAUAUUGUUUUGGUAUAUUAAAAAUAAAUUUUUAAAAUAAAAAUUUAUUUUAAUAUAUUUUUAAAUAAAAAAUACUUUAAAUAAUAAUAAUAAAAAUAAUAAUAAUAUCAAACACAAAGACACUCAUGUGGCCAGCUAAACCUGUAAGCUUUAAACCUUUCAAUAGUCAAAUCGAAUCGAAGUUUAUGCAGCAGCCCAAAACAAAUAGGGCCGGUCCACAAAUAGCUGGGUUCUGAAUUUAUAAAUUAAUUUUAUUGUAUUUUUUUACCACGAGUAGUCCGGUCCAUGAAUUAAUUUAUAUAUUUUUUUAUAAAUUAAUAUAGAUCUCCUUGCGGCUUCUAUAGGAUUUUUUUAAUGUUUUAUUUGCUUGAGAAAAAUUUAAUAAGGGUAAUAAAGAUUUUAAUUCAUUCAAUUCUUUUUUUAGAAUUUGAUUAAAGAGUUUCCCCCUUCUCUAAAUCCAGGAUAAUACAGAAAGUACACCGGAAAAAAUCCUGUUUAUUUUUUAACUUUUUUUAAUAUUUUUUUUAAAAAAAAGUUCAUUUUAUUCCCUGUAUUGUAAAUUAUUGCAAUUUUAUAAUAAAAACCAUGCGUUAAUAAAUUGAUUCGACAUAGAGCACAAGCAUGGAGUUACCGUUGAGAAGAUUUUUUUGUUGAGAAGGGUGUGUGUGUGUGUUUCACCUCUAGUAAAUAAAAUCUCGAAACUGUUCAGCCAAACUUUGUUAUGACGGGUGAAUUUUCUUUAAUAUAAUCCAUAAAUCUCUUACAGCCCUUCCAUGUGUUUCAUUCCAUUGUCGCUGGAAGAACAAUUUUAAGGAGGAAGAACAUAUCUUGCAUGUACGUGUAUAGCUCGUAUAUGGUGAUCGAGAGCUUCUGUACCAUUGCAGGUAUAUUUCACAUAUGUUUAACAAUUUCUUUCAGGAACAAAUUAAAAUCACCCACAUAAAACAUAAUGUUUAUAAUAAUUAUUAUCUUAUUAUAUAAUAUCAUUUUCUGUUUACAGUCUUCCCUGGCCUAGCAACACCACUUAAAAGCAGGAUACAAAAUAUUGAACAGUACAGCUUCUUUUUUUUUUUUUUUUUACUAGUGAUAUAUAAUCUGCAACACUGGUAGAAAGGACCUCGACCUCCUCCACACCUGCAAAGACAGAAGGAUACGUUAGAAAUCAAAAUUAUGGAAGAACAGAACGUGCAUGUAACAAACGAUUCACCAUUUUUGAGCUUUGACUUUGACAUAAUGGAGAAGCAGAGCAUGCAACAAGACCUACGUACAUAUAAUUAGUUUAUGAUCUAGAGGCAACAAAGACGAAGAAAAAAUAAUGGGAAAAGAAUUAACGAAAAAAAUAAGACAAAAAACUGUGCUGUAGGGAACAAAUAUAUGUUUAUAUACCUAAUGCAUGGAAGCAGUGCAAGAUUUUUAGUCGCUGUCACUGUGCCAUCAUCAUGCUGCUUCUACUAUUUCUCUCCUCCUUCACCACGGACACCACUAGCACGGCCACCCCCCGGGAGCUUGCCCUUGAUCUUGUCAACAAACCCUUCCUUGCGCUCACCUUGUGCGUCGCCCCUGUGCUCUUGUUGAUUGUACCCACCUUGCGUCAUGCCACCGACACCGACACCGCCACCGCCCCUGUGCUCUUGUUGAUUGUACCCACCUUGCGUCAUGCCACUGACACCACCACCGCCCCUGUGCUCUUGUUGGUUGUACCCACCUUGCGUCAUGCCACCGCCACCGCCCGGGAGCUUGUCCUUCAUCUGGCCAACAAACCCUUCCUGGCGAUCACCUUGUGCGCCGCCCCUGUGCUCUUGUUGGUUGUACCCACCUUGCGUCAUGCCACCGCCACCGCCCGGGAGCUUGUCCUUCAUCUGGCCAACAAACCCUUCCUGGCGCUCACCUUGUGCGCCGCCCCUGUGCUCUUUUUGGUUGUACCCACCUUGCGUCAUGCCACCGCCCGGGAGCUUGUCCUUCAUCUGGCCAACAAACCCUUCCUGGCGCUCACCUUGUGCGCCGCCCCUGUGCUCUUGUUGGUUGUACCCACCUUGCGUCAUGCCACCGCCACCGCCCCCGCCCGGGAGCUUGUCCUUCAUCUGGCCAACAAACCCUUCCUGGCGCUCACCUUGUGCGCCGCCCCUGUGCUCUUGUUGGUUGUACCCACCUUGAUCUUGGUGGUUGUACCCACCUUGUGUCUCCCCCUUGUGCACGCCACCGCCUCCCCCCGGGAUCUUGUCCUUCAUCUGGUCAGCAAACCCUUCCUUGCGCUGACCUUGUGCGGCGCCCCUGUGAUCCUGUUGGUUGUACCCACCUUGUGUCUCACCCUUGCGCUCAUCUUUCUUGCCUCCAAUGUUCAGAGUGUCCUCAAUCUUGUGCAUGAUUCCUGCCAUUGUGUAUUUCUUUCUUCUUUUCUCUCUCGUUGAAAUGGUUUUUGAUAUGAAGUGAUGAAGGAAACAAGUGCGCCAUAUUUAUAGGCUCCGAAGUGGAGCGAAGGAAAUGGAAGCAGACAGAAAAAGAAGAUAAAACUAAUGGUAUAAUUGGAAAUCACAAAAAUGUCCAUCUACGUGUACAGACUACAGACAGUGUUGAUGAUAAAUGUAAUAAACUCCAACGUAUCAUUUCCUUUAGAAAGGUCUUUGAUCUAAUCUGAAAGGCUAAAGGUGAUGUUGAAAGUUGUUAGGUCCCUGUUUAGGGCACCAUACAAGGGAAGGAAGCAAAUUCAUUUUAAUUAAACAUAUAUCCAUUUUAUUAUGCCAAAUAUUUCAAAGAAGAAAUGUCGCUUGUGGUCUCCGCCAUGGUCAUUUUCUCCUCUCGGAAGAUUUAAGCAAUGUUGAUAUCUUGUCCAAGAAAGAGUAAGUGUUUUAUUAAAAUUAAAAUGAAAUAAAUUUUUGCAAGUAAAAUAAAUAAAAGCAGUCUUUAGGAAUAAAUAAAAAUAUAUUAUUUUAAUUUUUACAAAACUAAAAUUUAAAAAAUAAUUAUAUAUAAGCCAGGUGUAGAAACAUAAAUUAUUUAAAUAAUAAUACAGAUUUUUCUAUGUUAUUAGACAAAAACAAAAACUAUUGUAAUUAAUACCUAAACAUAUUUUAACAAGAAAGCAUGUAAAAUAUCCAAAAUAGUAUAAAGAUAUUUUUUUUUAAUUAUAGGAUUAUCCUCUGCCAACAACUAAAGACGUGGCAUGGAUUUUAAUUUUUUUUUUUAAAUUAAGGAAAGG